rnacentral:rRNA from 1 species
UACGUAGGGGGCAAGCGUUGUCCGGAAUUAUUGGGCGUAAAGAGCGCGUAGGCGGUCCGAUAAGUCGGCUGUGAAAGUCAGGGGCUCAACCCUUGAAAGCCGGCCGAUACUGUCGGACUAGAGUCCGGAAGAGGCAAGUGGAAUUCCCGGUGUAGCGGUGAAAUGCGCAGGAUAGUCGGGAGGAACACCAAUGGCGAAGGCAGCUUGCUGGGACGGUACUGACGCUGAGGCGCGAAAGCGUGGGGAGCAAACAGG